rnacentral:lncRNA from 1 species
CCUCGAGCUCUGCGAUUGGACAGAAUGACCCACACACACCCAGGGGCGGGGCUUGAUGACCCGCGGGAUUUCCGCAGUCUCUCCGUGGACUCGGCCGUGUGCAGCAGUACUGAUUCUCUGCAUAAAUCCAGUAAGAGGAAAAGCAUCAAAUCCUCCAUCGGCCGUCUGUUCGGGAAAAAAGAGAAGGGCAGAGGGGGCGGGGCUCCGCGAGACUCCGCCUCACUAGCAUCAACUCCGUCUGAUGAUCUGGCUGCUGAUCCACUCAGCCUCAAACUGGGAACACUGGAGAAAGAGCGCCGCAGUAAAAAGAAGUGAGAUACACCCGUUCAUUCAGCCACGACUCACUGAUUCACCCACGACUCACUGAUUCACCCCUCGACUCACUGAUUCACCCUCGACUCACUGAUUUA